AUUUGUUGUGGGCAUAUAAAAUGUAUAUGACUAUCAAAUCCUCCAGCAGUUAAAAUUUUACCUUCACCUGCAAUAACUUCUGUCCCAGGACCAACGAUUAUAUCAACAUUAGGUUGAGUAUCUGGGUUUCCACCUUUACCAAUUUUAUUUAUUUUUCCAUCUUUUAACCCUACAUCUGCUUUAUAAAUUCCCGUUACAUCUACAAUCAGGGCAUUAGUGAUGAUUGUAUCUACAGCACCAUCUUUAUUUGUUACUUGAGAUUGCCCCAUUCCGUCUCG
rnacentral:sRNA from 1 species